rnacentral:tRNA from 1 species
GCUUCAGUAGUGUAGAGGCCAAUCAUUCCGGCCUUUCGAGCCGAAGACUCGGGUUCAAAUCCCGACUGAAGCA